CCCUCAGCCGCCGCGGCCCGCCCCGCCCUGCCCUGUCGCGGGCGCUGUCGGGAAGUAGAGUCCUGACAGAGACGCGGCCCCUGAAGAACUGGGAGAAUCCAGCACGGUGGCCGCACGGACUCACGGGAAAUGUAGUCCAAACAUACCUGCUUCUCCAGUGCGGACCUUGCUCCAGUUUGAGUUUGGGACCAGGGCUGUGCUGCCCCAUAGUGUUGUCUUCAGCACCCAUCGAUGGGCUAGGAGCCCAGGAGCAGGACCAGUAGGACACUGUACAGCCGUCUGCUGAGACCAGUCCCCCCACUCCCGUGGUGGGGUUCUCAUUUCAAACAGACCCAGCUCGACAUCACCUUAACCAAAGUAGUCAGCCGUGCGAUGAAGUGGAGCCAGCUCACGCAGAGCAGAAACUCCAUCAGAUUGGCAUAUCUGGGUUCCACUCCUCCUCCCUCAGCCAGCCUCCCCUCCACCUACGUAGCCCACUCAACAAAAAUUCUAGCAAGUGAAAAACCGACUCCGGGGGCCGACUUUGGUGGCAGAGUGUUACACGCCUUCGCCUGUGGCGCCGGCAUGCCCGCCUGGACGCUGCUCCUGUCCCAUCCAGCUCCCUGCUGAAGCACCUGGGAGAACAACAGAGCAUGCUAAGUUCUCGGGCCCCUGCACCCCUGUGGGAGGCUCGAAUGGCACCUGGCGUCCGCCUGGCCCAGCUCUGGCCACUGAGCCAUUGGAGGAGCCAUUUCUCUGUCUCUCCCUCUCUUCUUUCAAGUAAAUAAAAUCAAUCUUUAAAAAAAAAUUACUACAGGAGACAGCUCAUGAUGCCCCACAGCCCCAGCUCA